UACGUAGGGUGCGAGCGUUAAUCGGAAUCACUGGGCUUAAAGGGCGCGUAGGCGGGCUGUCAAGUCUGGGGUGAAAUGCCGCGGCUCAACCGUGGAACUGCCUUAGAUACUGACGGCCUCGAGGAAGGUAGGGGCAUGCGGAACUGUAGGUGGAGCGGUGAAAUGCGUUGAUAUCUACAGGAACUCCGGUGGCGAAAGCGGCGUGCUGGACCUUUUCUGACGCUGAGGCGCGAAAGCUAGGGGAGCAAACGGG
rnacentral:rRNA from 1 species